GGGGGGAUGUGGAAGACAAUGACUUCUCUAGUGGUGUGUGGCAGUCACUUGGGGUCACAGGAGAGCUGGUGACUGAUGGUCUGGUCGGCAGAAAGCAAGGGGAGGAGCCAGGGCAGGAGGUCCUGACCUGGAGAAGGAGAGCCACCCCCUCUCUGGAUCCUGAGCCCGUGGCCCUGUCAGGGCCCGAGUCAAAGUCCUGACUUGGGAGCAUUCGUCAGCUCAAGUGCUUUCCACGAAAGUUUCCAUUCCUCCUGCCAAAUUAGGAGGUAGGGAGAGAACUCAGUUUUCCCGGCUCAGGGGCCAGGCAGGCUUCCUGGGGGCCAUGCAGAAGGCUCCUGGAGGGUGAGAGAGAAAGUGCAGGUGCCUGGUGAGGCCAGGUCUUUGAAGAGGCCAAGAGAUGGUGUUCCCAACAGAAGAACGGCCUGAAGUUGAAAGGCCUUGGGGGUGUGAGUGUCUCUGCUUUUUCCAGAAAGAUUUCUUAGGACAUCAAGUCGUCUGAAAAGGUUUCCUUUUUGGAGAACAAGCCUCGCUCUUUGGGGUACUGGAUGGUCUCUAAGAGGCACUGCCUGUCCCAGUUUCUACAAAGUUGGGGCAGCCUCUCUGGGAUAGGCCAGCCCAGCUCUGAAAGCGGAGCCAAGGGGCUGUUUCUGGAAGAUGGAAGAAUCUUGGUGAAACGGCACAAGUAUGGGCUGUUCAACAAUUAACCAGGUUAUCGGAAACUACAAGGAUGGGGUGGUAUCUAAGUUGUUGAAGUCGAAAACCUAUUUAAUGUGUAGAGCCUCCAAUCUUUAUCCCAGUAGCCUGCCACUGGAAUAUGAGCUCCAAGAAGGUCGACCUCUGAAUCAUCUCACAGUCUGAUUCUCAACUCUGCCAACUGAACUGAGCCUUGGUGUCUGCCCCCUUGAAGCUGGCCUGGGGGCAGCAGGGGUCUGCUGGGAUCAGCUGAUAAGCAGUGGCAUUUCUCUCUGCUCACAGGGGCUCUCUUGAAGGGCAGGUCAUCAUCAUCUUAGGAGAUCCCAGGCUUUUGCCUGCAGGAGGUUCAUCAUGGCCUCACUUUCUCAUCACAAAAUCUCUCCAGCUUCAAGGGCCGGGCCCCCUAGUCUACUGGAAGCAGAUGCACAUCCUGACACACACCUCUGAGCCUGUCAGACUGGGCUGUUAAGUACAGACUCUGGACUGGAACUCCCUGGGUUGGAAUCAUGCCUCUUCCACUUAUUAUUGGGAAAGUCUAGAAAAAUCCCUUGGUUUUUUUGUGCUUCGGUUUCCUCAUCUGCAAUGCGGGAAUUCUAAGUGUCUGUCUCCUAGGAUUGUCAUGAAGACAAAAUGACUCAACACGAAAGGAUGCUUAGAACAAUGCCUGGCCCAUCCAGUGUCCUCUAUAUAUGCUCCAGGUAUAUCAGCCCCCACGUGUGCCCCAUGCUCAUUCUGGAGGUGGCCCCUGCCCACCUGAGCCAUAUCACUCGAUCUUGCUUUGGUUCUUCCCUAAAAUUGGCAAGUGGCUCUGGCAGGGCAAAUACCUGAUGGCAAGACGUGCUCUGGCUGCAGAGCCUGGCCAGAAGUCAGAGGUCAGGAAGAGAAGACUGCGUGGGGACUUUUGGAGUUUCAAUGUGUUUUACUAGUGUGUUUUAGUGUGUUUUGGAGUUUUACACCCAAAAGCAGGUAUAGAGAAGAACAGGAAGACCCGGAGGAUUCCAAAUCUGUCCUGGUUUCCACACCUAUCACACAGAGCCAGGUUCAUAAUACACUCACUCCUCCCUGCACUGCUCUGUUCCUUUGCCCCAGAGAUUCCCUGUGCCCUGGCACAGCUGAGUAUUCCACCUUGAGGCUACCAUGCAGCAGUUGGCCAGAACAUGGCUUUUUAAAAAAUGAUCCAAAUAUCACUGCAACCUCAAUUAUUCCAGAGAUGCUCUGCCCCCCUGGAGUAUUCUGGUGUCCCAGAACAGUUACAUGUUCCACCUUGGGGCUACCACUCAGAAGUUGACCAGAACAUGACAUUUUUGAAAAAAAUCCAAAUAUCCCAGCAACCCCAAUUAUUCCAUGAGAUUAUGAGCUCUGCCUCCUCCUUCAAAGGUGAUUCCAACUCUUCUAGAAUUUCUUGAGUUUUCCCUCCUAAUCCCUCCUUUUCAAUUUUUUUUUAGUGUACAAUAUAUACUUUUUCUUUUUUUUGUUUUA